UCUAAUAUGGCAGAUUAGUGCAAUAGAUUUAAGCUCUAUAUAAAGAAGUGGAAGUCUUCUUAUUAGAA
rnacentral:tRNA from 1 species